rnacentral:rRNA from 1 species
GGGAAUCUACCGUGCCCUGCGGAAUAGCUCCGGGAAACUGGAAUUAAUACCGCAUACGCCCUACGGGGGAAAGAUUUAUCGGGGUAUGAUGAGCCCGCGUUGGAUUAGCUAGUUGGUGGGGUAAAGGCCUACCAAGGCGACGAUCCAUAGCUGAUCUGAGAGGAUGAUCAGCCACAUUGGGACUGAGACACGGCCCAAACUCCUACGGGAGGCAGCAGUGGGGAAUAUUGGACAAUGGGCGCAAGCCUGAUCCAGCCAUGCCGCGUGAGUGAUGAAGGCCUUAGGGUUGUAAAGCUCUUUCACCGGAGAAGAUAAUGACGGUAUCCGGAGAAGAAGCCCCGGCUAACUUCGUGCCAGCAGCCGCGGUAAUACGAAGGGGGCUAGCGUUGUUCGGAAUUACUGGGCGUAAAGCGCACGUAGGCGGAUAUUUAAGUCAGGGGUGAAAUCCCAGAGCUCAACUCUGGAACUGCCUUUGAUACUGGGUAUCUUGAGUAUGGAAGAGGUAAGUGGAAUUGCGAGU